GAUGAAGAACGUAGCGAAAUGCGAUAAGUAAUGUGAAUUGCAGAAUUCAGUGAAUCAUCGAAUCUUUGAACGCACAUUGCGCCCGCCAGUAUUCUGGCCGGCAUGCCUGUUCGAGCGUCAUUACAACCCUCAGGCCCCCGGGCCUGGCGUUGGGGAUCGGCGGAAGCCCCCUGCGGGCACAACGCCGUCCCCCAAAUACAGUGGCGGUCCCGCCGCAGCUUCCAUUGCGUAGUAGCUAACACCUCGCAACUGGAGAGCGGCGCGGCCACGCCGUAAAACACCCAACUUCUGAAUGUUGACCUCGAAUCAGGUAGGAAUACCCGCUGAACUUAAGCAUAUCAAAAGCGGAGGA
rnacentral:misc_RNA from 1 species